rnacentral:rRNA from 1 species
GACGAACGCUGGCGGCGUGCUUAACACGUGCAAGUGGAGCGACGAACCAGGCUUCGGCCUGGGGCAGAGCCGCGAACGGGUGAGUAACACGUGGGUAACCUGCCUCGAUGACCGGGACAACCCGGGGAAACCCGGGCUAAUACCGGAUGUGCUCUCCUCAUAUAAGUGAGGAGUGAAAAGGAAGCUUCGGCCUCCGCAUCGAGAUGGGCCCGCGGCCCAUUAGCUUGUUGGUGAGGUAACGGCNCACCAAGGCCGCGAUGGGUAGCUGGUCUGAGAGGACGAUCAGCCACACUGGGACUGAGACACGGCCCAGACUCCUACGGGAGGCAGCAGUGGGGAAUCUUGCGCAAUGCGCGAAAGCGUGACGCAGCAACGCCGCGUGGGGAAGAAGGCC